GUUCAUUUUAUAGUUCUGGGGUAGAAAACUGGGGACAGUCACAGUCAAAGCAGUGAUGCUCGGAGAAGGAGAGGAGGAGGAGGGGAAGAAGGAGGAGGAGGAAGAGGAAGAGGAGGAAGAAGAGGAAGAAGAGGAAGAUGCCUGUGAGGAUGUCUAAGCUGGUGACAGAAGCCCCCAGAGCUUGUGACCUCUGACCUGAGUCCCCAGGACCAGCUUAGGCCACUGCCUCCUGGGAUGGAAGACGGACCCACCUGGCAGCCAUCUUCAGAACGUUGUGCAGAGUUCCAGAGGAGCUGGACAAGUCAGACCACCCGGAGAACAGGGUUGUGCCUGUUGGCGAGAAGAAAUUCAGUCACCUCACCCCUGCGAGACCGAUAGAAGGCUUGAUGAUUGGCAGCCCAGAGGCAUUCCCUGCCCCUGAAAGCCCCACCUACCCUAACACAGUACCUGGCGGCUGUGAUCUGAGGAUUACAAGAUCCAAGAUAUCCUUGGGCAGCUCCACACUAAGAUAGAAAUCAGUCUGAGGCCACUGCACUAUAAAACAGGGUCAUAAAUAAAGACUGCAUUCAAAUUCUA